rnacentral:rRNA from 1 species
GGAUGCGAUCAUACCAGCACUAAAGCACCGGAUCCCAUUAGAACUCCAAAGUUAAGCGUGCUUGGGCGAGAGUAGUACUAGGAUGGGUGACCUCCUGGGAAGUCCUCAUGUUGCAUUCC